AUACAUUUCUCGGCCUUUUGGCUAAGAUCAAGUGUAGUAUCUGUUCUUAUCAGUUUAAUAUCUGAUAUGUGGGUCAUCGUCGAUAUUAAUCUUAUUUUUUAUUAUGGGGAAAAGCCCAUCACAAUAGCUUGCUAUUGGGGCCUUUGAGGGUCGCCUUGGCGUUGCACUACUGCCUUGGCCUGGCGCACCCCUC
rnacentral:snRNA from 2 species